rnacentral:rRNA from 1 species
GCGGCGGACGGGUGAGUAACGCGUGGGUAACCUACCCUGUACACACGGAUAACAUACCGAAAGGUAUGCUAAUACGGGAUAAUAUAUUUGAGAGGCAUCUCUUAAAUAUCAAAGGUGAGCCAGUACAGGAUGGACCCGCGUCUGAUUAGCUAGUUGGUAAGGUAACGGCUUACCAAGGCGACGAUCAGUAGCCGACCUGAGAGGGUGAUCGGCCACAUUGGAACUGAGACACGGUCCAAACUCCUACGGGAGGCAGCAUG